rnacentral:rRNA from 1 species
AUUGAACGCUGGCGGCAUGCUUUACACAUGCAAGUCGAACGGUAACAGGCCGCAAGGUGCUGACGAGUGGCGAACGGGUGAGUAAUGCAUCGGAACGUGCCCAGUCGUGGGGGAUAACUACUCGAAAGAGUAGCUAAUACCGCAUACGAUCUAUGGAUGAAAGCGGGGGACCGUAAGGCCUCGCGCGAUUGGAGCGGCCGAUGUCAGAUUAGGUAGUUGGUGGGGUAAAGGCUCACCAAGCCAACGAUCUGUAGCUGGUCUGAGAGGACGACCAGCCACACUGGGACUGAGACACGGCCCAGACUCCUACGGGAGGCAGCAGUGGGGAAUUUUGGACAAAGGGCGCAAGCCUGAUCCAGCAAUGCCGCGUGCAGGAAGAAGGCCUUCGGGUUGUAAACUGCUUUUGUACGGAACGAAACGGCUCUGGUUAAUACCCGGGGCUAAUCACGGUACCGUAAGAAUAAGCACCGGCUAACUACGUG